rnacentral:misc_RNA from 1 species
UGCCUUUUGGUUCUUUGGCCUGGCUCUGAGGGUCAGCUCUCCCUUAAUUGGAUUCGUUUGUAUAUGGUUACCUUUUGUGUUUGGCUGAUUGCAUGCAGGUAGAUUUUCAAUGAGAGGGCAUUUUUUUGUUGUUUCCUAUGUGUUGGGUUUGGAGUUGAGAUUUUAGGACAAGAGGCGGCAGUAGAUGGUCUCCAGUAGGAAGCUUCAUCCAUUUUGCGGAUUUUUGUCAUUUUUCUAUUCUUUUGGUUUGCUCUAUGUGGCGAGACGGUUUAUAUUGCUCUGGCCAACUUGUAUCUUUGGGAUCUGCUUCUAUACCAUGGCUGUGAAUGUCAUUCUUUCAGCAUUGUAUGCCAAGGAGUUCCAUGAUGGCACCUUCAUUGUUGUUGAGUGGUUUCUUCGUUGUUGUUGAGGAAGUUGGCAAGAAUCCUUGCUGAGUUUAGGUGCUGGUAGAGAUGGGCUUUUUAGCUCUUUGCAAUGCUUGUAGUAUUCAAUUGGCUUUGGUCUCUAUUCAGUUCCUUUGGCAGUAGCAACUAUGGAAACAAUGUGCUGCUGUGUUCUUCCCUUUUCUCUUAGGGUUUCUAGUUGGGGUGGGUUUGAUUGUGGGUUGGUCUAGUUGUUUCCGACGAGUUUGAUUUCUG